AAAACUUUCAACAACGGAUCUCUUAGUUCUAGCAUCGAUAAAGAACGUAGCGAAAUGCGAUAAGUAAUGUGAAUUGCAGAAUUCAGUGAAUCGUCGAAUCUUUGAACGCACAUUGCGCCCCUUAGUAUUCCGGGGGGCAUGCCUGUUCGAGCGUCAUUA
rnacentral:rRNA from 1 species